rnacentral:misc_RNA from 1 species
GACGUUGUUCAGAGUUUGGAUAAGCUCUAUGCGUGUAUCAAUAUCAGGUGUCUCAUCGAUAUAAGUGAUUGCCUUUUGUACCAUUGCAGUCACUGCCUGCUUCAGUUGCCCCCUCCUCUUGGAGAGAAGUACGAUCUGAUCGUUCAACGUCUUCCAUGCGCCGGCCUUGUGGCAGAGCUCCACAAUAUCGAUCACCGCUUUCUUCGUCCCGGCGACAUCGCCGGCGAGCCGCAUCUGCUUCUCCACGUUGAGGAGGGCUUCGAUCGACGCAUCGAGAUUCUCCUCCAUUAUCGAUGAAUUCGGUGUGGAUUUUGCGAGAGGGGGAGACGAAACCCUAGAU